rnacentral:rRNA from 1 species
GACGAACGCUGGCGGCGUGCUUAACACAUGCAAGUCGAACGGAAAGGCCCUGCUUUUGUGGGGUGCUCGAGUGGCGAACGGGUGAGUAACACGUGAGUAACCUGCCCUUGACUUUGGGAUAACUUCAGGAAACUGGGGCUAUUCCGGGUUGGGGGCUCCGGCGGAUGGGGGGGGGUGGGAAGGUUCGGCGGGUGGGGAUGGACUCGCGGCUUAUCAGCUUGUUGGUGGGGUAGUGGCUUACCAAGGCUUUGACGGGUAGCCGGCCUGAGAGGGUGACCGGCCACAUUGGGACUGAGAUACGGCCCAGACUCCUACGGGAGGCAGCAGUGGGGAAUAUUGCACAAUGGGCGGAAGCCUGAUGCAGCAACGCCGCGUGCGGGAUGACGGCCUUCGGGUUGUAAACCGCUUUCGCCUGUGACGAAGCGUGAGUGACGGUAAUGGGUAAAGAAGCACCGGCUAACUACGUG